GCGCUGGUGGUGGAAUUGGUAGACACACCAUCUUGAGGGGGUGGCGGGGCAACCCGUGCGAGUUCAAGUCUCGCUCAGCGCACCA
rnacentral:tRNA from 1 species